UACGAGGGGGGCAAAUGUUGUUCGGAAUUACUGGGCGUAAAGCGUGCGCAGGCGGCUAUGCAAGACAGAUGUGAAAUCCCCGGGCUCAACCUGGGAACUGCAUUUGUGACUGCAUGGCUAGAGUACGGUAGAGGGGGAUGGAAUUCCGCGUGUAGCAGUGAAAUGCGUAGAUAUGCGGAGGAACACCGAUGGCGAAGGCAAUCCCCUGGACCUGUACUGACGCUCAUGCACGAAAGCGUGGGGAGCAAACAGG
rnacentral:rRNA from 1 species